rnacentral:rRNA from 1 species
UACGUAGGCACCAAGCGUUGUCCGGAUUUAUUGGGCGUAAAGAGCUCGUAGGCGGUUCGGUAAGUCGGGUGUGAAAAACUCUGGGCUCAACCCAGAGAGGCCACCCGAUACUGCUGUGACUAGAGUGCGGUAGGGGAGCGGGGAAUUCCUGGUGUAGCGGUGAAAUGCGCAGAUAUCAGGAGGAACACCAGCGGCGAAGGCGCCGCUCUGGGGCCGUAACUGACGCUGAGGCGCGAAAAGCGUGGGGGAGCAAACAGG